rnacentral:rRNA from 1 species
AUUGAACGCUGGCGGCAUGCUUUACACAUGCAAGUCGAACGGCAGCGCGGGCUUCGGCCUGGCGGCGAGUGGCGAACGGGUGAGUAAUACAUCGGAACGUGCCCAGUAGUGGGGGAUAGCUCGGCGAAAGCCGGAUUAAUACCGCAUACGACCUGAGGGUGAAAGCGGGGGAUCUUCGGACCUCGCGCUAUUGGAGGGGCCGAUGGCGGAUUAGCUAGUUGGUGGGGUAAAGGCCUACCAAGGCGACGAUCGGUGGCUGGUCUGAGAGGACGACCAGCCACACUGGGACUGAGACACGGCCCAGACUCCUACGGGAGGCAGCAGUGGGGAAUUUUGGACAAUGGGCGAAAGCCUGAUCCAGCAAUGCCGCGUGUGUGAUGAAGGCCUUCGGGUUGUAAAGCACUUUUGGCGGGAACGAAAAGGACUGUGCCAAUACCACGGUUCGAUGACGGUACCCGCAGAAUAAGCACCGGCUAACUACGUG